AGUGAACGCUGGCGGUAGGCCUAACACAUGCAAGUCGAACGGCAGCACAGUAAGAGCUUGCUCUUACGGGUGGCGAGUGGCGGACGGGUGAGGAAUACAUCGGAAUCUACUUUUUCGUGGGGGAGAACGUAGGGAAACUUACGCUAAUACCGCAUACGACCUACGGGGGAAAGCAGGGGAUUUUCGGACCUUGCGCGACUGAAUGAGCCGAUGUCGGAUUAGCUAGUUGGCGGGGUAAAGGCCCACCAAGGCGACGAUCCGUAGCUGGUCUGAGAGGAUGAUCAGCCACACUGGCACUGAGACACGGUCCAGACUCCUACGGGAGGCAGCAGUGGGGAAUAUUGGACAAUGGGCGCAAGCCUGAUCCAGCCAUACCGCGUGGGUGAAGAAGGCCCUCGGGUUGUAAAGCCCUUUUGUUGGGAAAGAAAAGCAGCAGGUUAAUACCCCGCUGUUCUGACGGUACCCAAAGAAUAAGCACCGGCUAACUUCGUG
rnacentral:rRNA from 1 species